UUUUCCAAGUCGUUUCAAUAAGUGGUUAGAUGGAGAGAAAAAAAUAUAUCAAGUGCUUAUAGUUAGUUAGCUCGUAGAUUUAUCAAAAGCAGAGUGGGUGGACACUUUUUGUCGAUGUGCACAAGAGGAACUAACUUAACUAGUCCAUUUUUUGCCUGCUGGGUUCUUCUAGAUGUUGCGAAAUAACGUUAAGUAGCUCAAUCUAGUCAAGUAAUUUAGUCAACAAACAUGCAACACUGAAAGUAAACAUUUUGAUUUCCUUGCUCAAAUAUGGGGAUGUGUUUACCGUGCCUUGGUGGAUCUGGGAACGACUUGUCCCCCACACCAGAUCGAGAGACAAGGAGACGUCAGCUGGCAGAGACAGCCGAGCAGAGACAGAAAGAGAAAUUCUUCAGUCAAAGCCAAUUGUAUCCAACCCAUAAAGCAUGUCGGCCUACUAAAGCAUCGAGACAACCUCCAGGGGCGUCAAAAACCCCCAAGCAGUUGAGAGAAAUAAAAAGAAUAAGGAGAUGGAGAAACAAGAGAUGAGACCGUCUCCACCUGGAGGAGGGCUGAAGGUAGGCUGAAGAUGGACAUGGAGAGAUCCUGGAUGUCUCCAUCUAGACAGAGGUUCAGCUAACAACAUGAAGAGUGUUGGUACCAGUUGACUUGAAAAGGCUUUUUUUGGGAUGUUGGCCCUUCUGACAUUUUUUAAUAUUUUUAAUUGCAAGCUUAUUUUUUUUAGAGGGGAUUGUUUGCCAGGCUUCGACACUGGUAAAAAAAAUAAAGAUUCUACUGCCCAUGUUGGCAGUGUGAAUCACAGGACAUGCCUCCCUUAAUGCCAAGAUACACAAGAGGAAAAUGCAAGCCAGCCAAUGGAGCUUUGGAACAGACAGGGUGGCUUAGCUAUGAAUAGAAUAUACACACUCAGAGGAAAUAUGCUCACACUACAUCUAUAAACUGUACCAGGCAUCUUGCAGCGUACUCUCUCUUUGUCCUCUCUCCUCACGCUCCUCCUUUGUUCUCUCAGCCAUUUCAACUUGGCCAGCUUUAACACCAUGGUGCUUUCUUCUUCUGAGGAAUAUUCUCAGUCUUGUGACCUAUUUACCGUAUAGUACAUUUUCCUUCUAAAAUGAUUUUAUGCAACAAAGUCCUUUAAUGUUCAAAAUAGGCCUAGAUGAUUCAAAUGGCGUUUUCUAUUGUAGAUCAGUGUGAAAAGAACUACGUUUCCCAUAGCUACCUACUGAUGAACCACGUGAAUGUUUUAGAGUUCAUGCACCAGCACUAUGCAGUUUACUUUUCUAUUGUAGAUCAGUGUGAAAAGAACUACGUUUCCCAUAGCUACUGAUGAACCACGUGAAUGUUUUAGAGUUCAUGCACCAGCACUAUGCAGUUUACUUGUCUAUUGUAGUUCAGUUAGAAAAGAACUACGUUUCCCAUAGCUACUGAUGAACCACGUGAAUGUUUUAGAGUUCAUGCACCAGCACUAUGCAGUUUACUUGUCUAUUGUAGUUAAGUGUGAAAAGAACUACGUUUCCCAUAGCUACCUACUGAUGAUAUAUGUCUGUGCAAUAUAGGUUAUUUUCUACACAUUGUAACGGUUUCUAUCGGUUUGUAAUGUAUGAAGAAAAUGGUUCACCGUGUGUGCAUUAAAGGAACACUAUAUUGAA